rnacentral:tRNA from 1 species
AGGAUGUUGGCGUAAUUGGAAACGUAUCGGAGCUCUAACCCGAAGCUACAGGUUCAAGUCCUGUACAUCCUU